CUUCAUCAGCAGCAGCCAUGUUCUGCCGUUCUCUUCUGCUGGUUCUUCUGGGGCUCUCCUGCCUUCAGUCCUUCACCAUGGCAGAGUAUGCACAUGGAGCAGGAUCGUGCUGUUUUGAGUUUCAUAAAAGCCCGGUGCCUGCAGCGAUCGUUGCAACUGUUGAACAAACGAGAUUCGACUGUACACUUCCUGGAGUCAUUCUUACAACAAAAAAAGGAUAUCGGUUUUGUGCAGACCCUGAGGUGGACUGGGUGAAGGAGAUCAAAAUUAAAGCACCAACUUUGUCCUAAACAUCAGAUUCAAAUUAGAUUAAAUGUUGUUUAAAAACAAAGUGAUGUCUUGCCUAACAGGAACAACUUUUUUAUAUAUCAGACAUGCACCUGUAACUGCUGAUUAUUGAUUAUUAUUGAUUGCUGAUUAUUAACAUUUCCACACAAGUAAAUGUAAAGCUCACAGCCUCUGGGUUUGCUUCAUUAAAUAAAGUCUUUUUUACAAAACUAAAAAAACUACAAAGCUUCUUUUUCCUUCUGCAAUGGAAUGAUCUAUAUGUUAUGAUGGGUAAAGAAUGGGAAAAAACUGCCCUAAGACUUGAGGCUGUAAUUGGUGCCAAAGGAGCUUCAACAAAGUACUGAGCAAAGGCUGUGAAUAUUUAUGUAUGUGUGAUC